UUAUGCUAGUAACAUGGAUGUUGUGAGUUUGUUCAUAGAUUCAUUCCUUUUUGUUUUUAGCGAAUUUGA
rnacentral:pre_miRNA from 1 species